UGCAAAAAGUAGCUUUAUUCAGAACAGCUUACAUUCUGUGAUGAUACUUCUAACACCAGGACACACCAUAAUACACUAUCCCAAGUCCUUGGGAAGGACUAGAAAGGUGGAUAAAAACACUAAAUCCAGUGUGAACAUCUGGCUGAGUGUGUGAUGAACCAUAAUAUAACAUCAUAAUAUAUAUGAGGUCAUUGUUGUUUCUAAGAGAUGCCCAUGUUACUCAGCACAAAUAUUGGGGUGAGAAACAAUAUUAGCCUACAUAUUAACCAGAUGAUCAAUCAGGAACAUACAGAAUCCACCAGGCAAAUAUUUGGCAGAGAACAUCUAAUUAAUUAAAAUACUGGAUUGAAAAUUUGAAAAUUGAAGAUCAACACAUUUCAAGGGUAUCAAGUUGGAGUAUUAUUUUAAUUUGUUUCAGCUGAACAAUAUGUGGGCAAAAACAUCCAUAUUCAUCAUAUGACUUUACAAGGUUGCAUGAGAGGUUAUUAAAAUGAUGUAUGUGAAGUACAUAUUGCGGAAUGUGUUGUCAACAUCUGUAGCAUUCCCAUCACACUUGCAUUCCUAGGAACUGUAGGGGCAGUUUAGGUUAAGGCUUCCCCAAUGCCAUGUUGUAAUAAUAAUUAGAUAGUUAUGUUGUCAUCCAUUAUAUUGUGGUUAUAAAUUAGAGCAGGCAAACAAAUCCUGUGGGGGUUUUCCCCCCUACUUGUUCUCAUUCAAUUUGAUAAGAAUGCAAUUGGCUCUCAAUGUUUUCUUUCCUAAAGGUGAAGAAACGUCUGGAGAAGUUCUCAGGACUGGUCUCCUUGCACCUAAGUAGUGAGAAGGUGACCAAGGUUAGGAAUGAACACCCUCUGUCCUUCCUGGGUCCAGACUCCCUGGCUUUCCUUACGUCCAUUCAGCCCAGGAAAAGUUUUGAGGAGAGAGAUCUCCGUAGGAUUUGACGAACUGGAGGCCUGAGAAAACACGCCUGGGUCACGAAGAAAAUAUUGAUUGGGCUGGGCAUGUUGAGAACCAUCCCAAUGUUUUGGCAACUCUGCAUCAUUCUUAUUAGAGACAAUACCAGUGGAAUACAGUAAGGGUUUCUAAAUUGUUUAUGAAGAUGUAGAAGAGGAUUGGGCCUAAAACAGAACCUUGGGGUACCCCACUGCUUACUUCCCUCCAUGUAGAUGUAGUUCCACUUAGGACCGUAUGUUGAGUGUGAUUUAUCAGCCAGCUUCAAAUCUACCUGAAGGUGAUACUGUCUAUUCCACAUUUUUUAAGGUUACCAAGAAGAAAAUUGUGGUCUACUUUGUCAAAUGCCUUACUGAAAUCCAGUGCCUUUCUUACAAACCUCUCAGUGGCGUUUCAUUGACUGCAGCUGGUGGAGAGCCCAUAACCUCCAUGGCCAGAGUCAUUUCUGCACAUCUGCACAAGCCAAAUGGGGAACAGCAACCGAGGAUCCUGACGCGACUUCAUUGGGUUUCCAGGAGAGAUGCUGCAGAUUCCAUCCAUGAGUAAAGCAGGAUUUAAGUGGGCAAUUAUGAUAAAAGGAAAGAGGAGGCCAAAAGAUCUGCCAUUUUGUGGGUAAAAGGUAUCUCUGAAUGAGAAACAAUCAACUCCCUAUGAAUACGAUGUGGCCGAUCUGAUUUUCUUGUAGAAAAGCAAACAUAUAUUCAAAUAGGAAAAUAUUAAUUUGUCCUAUGAGCAACAACAUAUUCAUGCACAAUUAUUUCCGGGUACAGCUUGUUGGCUGCUCAUUUUGCACGUACGUAAGUGCACAGAUAGAAAAAAACGAUGCAACAACAGAUGGACACAAAGCACACUCACCCAUUUGUGCAGAGUAGAAUCCAAAUAGACAUGUGGAUUCCUAUGGCUGCACAAACUCACAACAGACACACAUAUGCAAAAGGCUCUCACACACAAAUAAGAAUGUGUGCACUGGGACACACCAUAUUUGUGUAUUUGAGAGCAGCCACAUUUGUGCAAAUCAUUUAUUUUGCAAGGCCCACAAGUCUCAUAUUCCACAAGGCAGGCAAAGUUCCGUACAUUUGUCUGCCUCUCCAAAAUACACCAGGAAGAGCCAAACAGCAACAAUAUGCAAGAAAUAUGCAGAAAUUCUGAAUGCUGUAAGAAUAUCUUUGUAUGGGCAUGGACAGAACACAUUGCGCGAUGCACCAGGACAUCUUUGUGGGAGUCCGACACAGAAUGCAAACAAGUAUUAAGACAACACACAGUCCUGUAAAAAUACAAAAGUGCACAUUCCAUAAAAGUAUGUACAAGUCUGCAGUGCUAAAUGUGCAAAAAACAACCCUGCACACAAGUAUAUAAUCAUGCAGAAACUUGUAGGAAAUUGGUAUGCACACACAGACACACACUGAUAUAUCUUUGUAAUUUUGCAGAUAUCAAAGAGCAAUUUCAAAGCAGCUGGGAAAAAUUGUCCCAUUCCUGCACAUUGCACAGGUAUUCCCCCCCCCCAGCUACUGUACUUUUAACCUCCCACAGCAAAGCUGCUCUUUGGGGAAACCCCCCCCCCUUUAUCUGCACAGUGCAGCAGACAGAUACAUCAAUCUCUGGGCAUGACUGGUAGAUUUUCCAUAGUUCAAAUUUAACCUGGCUGCCUCAUUUCUCCACCACAAUCCCAACACAGCUGGAGUUAUCCUUGGUAACAUUAGUCCUCUGUGCAUUGCUGGCUGGCUGCAAAACCCUUGGUUGUAGGUCUGCAGGUCUUUGGUUUUCCUCCACCUGGAAUCUGCAUUUCUUGCUGCAAAGUCAUCCCUGCUCUCU